AUCCAAGAAAUGAAUAUGGGCCCAACAAUUGUUACUUGUAAGGAUGAGAUGGCCCAUACAAUCAUAAUCAUAACACAUUGAUUCUAUGAAUAAAUCUUAAUUAACAUAUGGUGAUAGUAAGUUAUAAUAUGGUGACGUUGUACAAGUACAAGAUUAUUAAUUAAAGAUAGUGUUAUACGCAUCUUAUUUUUACUUCCCACAUAUUUUUUGUUAAUUUAUAUAUAGAUAACAUCACCAUUAAUUAACCUCAACAUCAAUAGUUAAAAGCAAGAUUUUCUUAAACAACGGAUGAAGCACGUCCACAUCCACAUUCAUCUCAUAAUUCCCUACACAAGAUUUCCUUAAACAAAAUCUGUACUUUCGUAUCUAUUCCUAUGCAUGAUCAAUCAUGUGUAGAUAUUAAAUGCGCACACAGAAUAUGCAGAGAUCAACACAUUCAUUUCUUGUUGCUUUUUUUCGAAACCAAUAUGGACUCUAGUUAUUUUGAGGCUUGGUAAGUCAAAUUUUCAACCAUCGUUGUACUUUUCCAGAUUGUCUAGAUUUUAUCCAUGUUGAGUGCUGUCGUUUUUGAAGUUUAUAUUCAUCUGUGUUUGAAUUGGCUAUCCUUUCCGGUUAGGGGUCUAGGCAUGAGAUGGCUAAGUUAUGCUUGAUGUUCAUUUCUCGAUUUGAUCUGAUUUAUUACCAUAUGUAAGUUGACAUCAUUUUACUAGUCUCCUCAGAGUGGGAAAUCUUGUUUAGGCGAAGUCAUUUACCGUUGCAUAGCUGCUGAUCGGUUGUCCCCAGAACGCCUUCUUGAUUACUUCGAUCACUUAUCGGAAUACACCACUCUGGAAAUAGCAAACAGGAUUGAGGCUGCUGUGCACAUUUGGAAGCAUAAGCACGCAAAACCCCGUCUAACUCAUGUAAAUUCUGCAAAGUCAUCCUGGGGUGCAAAUUUCAAAGGCUUUGUCAAUUACAUAGAAAAGAGUAAGCUUCUCGCGUAAAGGGCAGAUACCCUCUUACAGAAUCUGAAAAUACGGUUCCCUGGCCUCCCACAUACCUCUCUGGACAUGAACAACAUUCAGCACAACAAGGAUGUGGGGCAAUCGAUCAUUGAGAGCUACUCUAGGGUGAUGGAAAGCAUAGCCUUUAACAUAAUGGCAAGGAUAGAUGAUCUACUAUAUGUAGAUGGUAGCACCAAACAGCAGGCAGCUGCGGAAUCUAUGUCUCUGUAUGACCAGGGAAGGAUUGGUGGCACAUUGCCAAAACAGAAGCGGAUAUCACCCAGUCCCUUUCUCAAUUCAUCGUGCCUCUUCCAUUAAAUUAUCAGCAUUGGAUCCUCUUGUGAAUCAGAUAGGUAAAAGCCCCGGUGGAAGGACAUAUUAUAAACCAACAAAGAAGGAUGACAAGUUAGAAAAGUUAACCUUUUGAUGAAGUUGAAAUGGUAAGCUGAACAGCUUCUCUGUCAUAUGUAGCCAAUAAGGUUAGUAUAUGAUAUGCCGUGUUUUAUUGCUCUA